rnacentral:tRNA from 1 species
GGUUGCUCAGUGGUAGAGUGCUUGCCUUGCAUGCAUGAGGCCCUGGGUUCGAUUUCACAGCACCA